UACUAACUCUGGCGGCGUGCCUAAUACAUGCAAGUAGAACGCUGAAGAGAGGAGCUUGCUCUUCUUGGAUGAGUUGCGAACGGGUGAGUAACGCGUAGGUAACCUGCCUUGUAGCGGGGGAUAACUAUUGGAAACGAUAGCUAAUACCGCAUAACAAUGGAUGACACAUGUCAUUUAUUUGAAAGGGGCAAUUGCUCCACUACAAGAUGGACCUGCGUUGUAUUAGCUAGUAGGUGAGGUAAUGGCUCACCUAGGCGACGAUACAUAGCCGACCUGAGAGGGUGAUCGGCCACACUGGGACUGAGACACGGCCCAGACUCCUACGGGAGGCAGCAGUAGGGAAUCUUCGGCAAUGGGGGCAACCCUGACCGAGCAACGCCGCGUGAGUGAAGAAGGUUUUCGGAUCGUAAAGCUCUGCUGUAAGUCAAGAACGGGUGUGAGAGUGGAAAGUUCACACUGUGACGGUAGCUUACCAGAAAGGGACGGCUAACUACGUG
rnacentral:rRNA from 1 species